rnacentral:rRNA from 1 species
CCUACGGGAGGCUGCAGUGAGGAAUAUUGGUCAAUGGGCGAGAGCCUGAACCAGCCAAGUCGCGUGAGGGAGUACUGCCCUAUGGGUUGUAAACCUCUUUUGUCGGGGAGCAAAAGCCGGACGUGUCCGGCUGUGAGAGUACCCGAAGGAAAAGCAUCGGCUAACUCCGUGCCAGCAGCCGCGGUAAUACGGGGGGUGCGAGCGUUAUCCGGAUUUAUUGGGUUUAAAGGGUGCGCAGGCGGAUUUUUAAGUCAGCGGUAAAAUCGUGGGGCUCAACCCCAUCCAGCCGUUGAAACUGGGGAUCUAGAGUGUGCGAGAGGUAUGCGGAAUGCGUGGUGUAGCGGUGAAAUGCAUAGAUAUCACGCAGAACCCCGAUUGCGAAGGCAGCAUACCGGUGCACAACUGACGCUCAGGCACGAAAGCGUGGGUAUCGAACAGGAUUAGAUACCCGAGUAGUC